ensembl:lncRNA
GUUCCUUACUAAGACCCAGACAACCAGGUAAGGGGAGUUCCUUACUAAGACCUAGACAACCAGGUGAGGGAAGUUCCUUACUAAGACCUAGACAACCAGGUGAGGGGAGUUCCUUACUAAGACCCAGACAACCAGGUGAGGGGAGUUCCUUACUAAGACCUAGACAACCAGGUAAGGGGAGUUCCUUACUAAGACCCAGACAACCAGGUAAGGGGAGUUCCUUACUAAGACCCAGACAACCAGGUGAGAGGAGUUCCUUACUAAGACCCAGACAACCAGGUGAGGGGAGUUCCUUACUAAGACCCAGACAACCAGGUGAGGGGAAUUCUUUACUAAGACCUACCAGGUGAGGGGUGUUCCUUACUAAGACCUAGACAACAAGGUGAGGGGAGAUCUUUACUAAGACCCAGACAACCAGGUGAGGGGAGUUAUUUACUAAGACCCAGACAACCAGGUGAGGGGAGUUCCUUACUAAGACCUAGACAACCAG